GGUGAGAGGGGCCUACCUGGACCAAAAGGAUACAGUGGAAACCCUGGAAUCAGGGGUAACAUUGGAUCAUGGGGUGAGGUUGGGCCUGGUGGUCCUCCAGGUCACAGAGGACCGCAAGGUCCCAUCGGCCCUCGGGGAGUUACAGGUUAUCUUGGUAAGGAUGGAACGCAAGGACCGACUGGACCAGGUGGUGUUAAAGGAGA